rnacentral:rRNA from 1 species
CCCUUAGAUGUUCUGGGCAGCACGCGCGCUACAAUGGUCUUCGCAAACGGAUGCAUUCUCGAAGGAGAAUGCCAAUCUUGGAAUCUAUGCCUUGGUCGGGACAGUUGCUUGCAAUUUUUCGACUCGAACCAGGAAUUCCUUGUAAUCGUGAUUCAUCACAUCACGAUGAAUACGUCCCUGCCCUUUGUACACACCGCCCGUCGCUCCUACCGAUCGAAGAGUUAGGUGAAAUGUUUUGAUCGAUAAGAUUUGACUAUGGUCAACUCUCGUUGUGAAAUUCUGUGAAGCUGACUGUUUAGAGGAAGGAAAAGUCGUAACA